AUGACAACAGCAAACCAAGAUGAUGUCAACUGUGCUCUGCAGGAAAGGACAGGAAGACAAACCAUCUGUACCAUCAGUAUGAGGAAACUGAGACCACUGAAAUCACUCACCCCAAGUCAUUCACGAGCAAGUGGUGGAACCAGAUUUGAAUCUAACGCCUGUGCCCCUGCUCAGCACAGGCUGUCCAUUGCUGCAUAACGCCUCAAGAAAAGUAGGCUACUGACAGAAUUGUAAUUGACAUUACCUAGCCUGGAACCACUACUUACAGAUGUGCCCUUGGACCCAAAGAAAAAUAAAGUCCCUUGUUCCCAAA